UACGUAGGGGGCGAGCGUUGUCCGGAUUUACUGGGCGUAAAGCGUGCGUAGACGGUUACAUAAGUCGGGUGUGAAAGCCCCGGGCUCAACCUGGGAAUUGCAUUCGAGACUGCGUAGCUAGGGUGCGGAAGAGGGAAGCGGAAUUUCCGGUGUAGCGGUGAAAUGCGUAGAGAUGUGGAGGAACACCGAUGGCGAAGGCAGCCCCCUGGGCUAACACUGACGCUCAUGCACGAAAGCGUGGGGAGCAAACAGG
rnacentral:rRNA from 1 species